rnacentral:rRNA from 1 species
CUGCUCAAUGAUUUUUUAAAUUGCUGUGGUAUUUUGACUAUACAAAGGUAUUGAAAUAAGAUUUUAAUUGAAUGCUAAGAGAAUGGAUUAACAAAAAAAUUCUUUUUUGAUUUUAAAAAUUGAAAUUAAUUUUUUUUGUGAAGAAGCAAAAAUAAAAAUUAAGGACAAGAAGACCCUAAGAAUUUUAAACUAUUAAUUUUAGGUCUAAAUUUUUUUAGUUUUAAUUGGGGCGAUUAAUUAAAAUUUUAAACUUUGUUUGAAAAUAAAAUGAACCGUUAUUGACGGUAAUAUGAUAAAAAUACUCUAGGGAUAACAGCGUAAUAAUUUUUGAUAGUUCCUAUAGACAAAAUAGUUUGCGACCUCGAUGUUGGAUUAGGAUUCUAAUUUAAUGAAGAAGUUAAAUAAAGAAGUUUGUUCAACUUUUAAAAUCCUACUUGAUCUGAGUUCAGACCGG